AUUGAACGCUGGCGGCAGGCCUAACACAUGCAAGUCGAACGAGUGGCGGACGGGUUAGUAAUGUCUGGGAAACUGCCUGAUGGAGGGGGAUAACUACUGGAAACGGUAGCUACUACCGCAUACCAUCAGCUGUGCCCAGAUGGGAGUAGCUAGUUGGUGGGUUAACGGCUCACCAAGGCUACGAUCCAUAGCUGGUCUGCGAGGUUGACCAUCCACACGUGAACUGAGACACGGUCCAGACUGCGACGGGAGGCAGCAGUGGGGAAUAUUGCACAAGGGGCGAAAGUCUGAUGCAGCCAUGCUGAGUGUGUGAAGAAGGCCUUCGGGUUGUAAAUUGCUUUCUGCGGGGAGGCGUUACCCGGAGAAAAAGCACCGGCUGACUCCGUGCCAGCAGCCGCGGUAAUUC
rnacentral:rRNA from 1 species